UAAAUUUUGCAAAAUUAACACAUAAAAGGGCAUCACUGGAAAUGUUUUCCAUUGCAUAAUUCCAAAUGCCAGGGAAGUGGUUGGCAUGUUUGGAUAGUCACAGAACUCAAUUCCAUACAUACAUAUUUCAAGAAUACCCAUCUGCUUAACACCAGGAAGGGUUUCAAUGUUAAUGGGAUUAGAAAGUUGUUCCAAGACUGCAAUAUGGGAUGAUCAGAACAAGACAACAAGAUGGUUUAUUCAUGUCCCCUGCACUCCUAAGCGACCACCAGGGAGAAGACACCAGAAGUAAUGAACUAAAGCGCCCCAGGGCAAACUGCAGACAGCUGUGGGGGCUGCGAAGAGGAGGAGGUGCACUCCGCUUCCACUGACCAGACAGAUGGCCUACGUGUGAGCCGGGAGGCAGGUGUGGGCUUUAUCUCUGACCCGGCACAGCCCACUGCGGGAAAGGUCUGCAGCAGGGUAGGUGGCUCGCUGUGAGUGCGUCCAGACUACAGAACAGGUUUGUUUUUCCUGCCAGCAGAUGCUUGUUUUGAACCGUUGAAGAGCUCUGGUGGAAGAGGGCUCCCAAGCAGGAGCACAUGGAAAAUGCAUGGCCAGGGUGUCAGCAACUGCGUCACAGCUGCACUUUGGAAAGGGGCGAGCGCUUUGAACAAUGCACACGCGUCCACGUGACAAACCGUUAAGAUUCCAGCCGGGUAAACAGCACGUGUUCUCUACCAGGUUGCUUC